rnacentral:rRNA from 1 species
AUUGAACGCUGGCGGCAGGCCUAACACAUGCAAGUCGAGCGGGGUUUUCGGACCUAGCGGCGGACGGGUGAGUAAUGCGUAGGAAGCUGCCCGAUAGAGGGGGAUACCAGUUGGAAACGACUGUUAAUACCGCAUAAUGUCUACGGACCAAAGUGUGGGACCUUCGGGCCACAUGCUAUCGGAUGCGCCUACGUGGGAUUAGCUAGUUGGUGAGGGAAUGGCUCACCAAGGGGACGGUCACUAGGUGGUUUGAGAGGAUGAUCAGCCACACUGGAACUUGGAGACGGGCCAGACUCCUACGGGAGGCAGCAGUGGGGAAUAUUGGACAAUGGGCGCAAGCCUGAUCCAGCCAUGCCGCGUGUGUGAAGAAGGCCUUCGGGUUGUAAAGCACUUUCAGCGAGGAGGAAGGGUGGUGUGUUAAUAGCACAUCAUUUUGACGUUACUCGCAGAAGAAGCACCGGCUAACUCUGUGCCAGCAGCCGCAGUAA